UGCUUUGGAUGGUGGUCUGGAUAUUCCUCACAGUGACAAGAGGUUUGCUGGUUUCAAGAAGGAUGAGAAGAACCUGGAUGCUGAGAUCCACCGCAAGUACAUCUAUGGUGGCCAUGUUGCCGACUACAUGAGGGUGAGUUGUGCAUGUUGCUUGUCAGAUUGUAACCCUUUGUUCCUUUGUGUUGAUUGUGGUAUCUAUUUGGAGGUCUUUACUAAUUCUCACCACUAUUAUUUCUUAUUAUUUUUCCAGACUCUGGCUGAGGAGGAGCCAGAGAAGUACCAGGCUCACUUCAGUGAGUACAUCAAGAAGGGAAUUGAGGCUGAUGACAUGGAAGCUCUGUACAAGAAGGUCCAUGCUGCUAUCCGUGGUGAACCUACCAUGGCCAAGAUAACCAAGCAGCCACCAAAGGAGCACAAGAGGUAUAACAAGGCAGCCACCAAUCUAGCGAACUGUUGUCUACAUCUUGAUGCCUUUACCUACCUUAAUUCCAUAAACUGCAUAGCUCUAACAAUUAUUUUUCCUUUAGGUACAACCCCAAGAAGCUGACCUAUGAGCAGAGGAAGGCCAGCCUCGUCGAAAGGCUCAACGCCCUCAACUCCUCGGGUGGUGCUGAUGACGACGAUGAUGAGGAUGACGAGUGAAGUGUAGUCCCAUCGUAGUAGUUCUAUCUUAUGUGGUGAUCUGAACUUGUGCUGUGGCACUUAUUUACCUGUAGUCCUGCAACAGGCAU
rnacentral:lncRNA from 1 species